rnacentral:rRNA from 1 species
UACGUAGGGUCCGAGCGUUGUCCGGAAUUACUGGGCGUAAAGAGCUCGUAGGUGGUUUGUCGCGUUGUUCGUGAAAACUCACAGCUCAACUGUGGGCGUGCGGGCGAUACGGGCAGACUAGAGUACUGCAGGGGAGACUGGAAUUCCUGGUGUAGCGGUGGAAUGCGCAGAUAUCAGGAGGAACACCGGUGGCGAAGGCGGGUCUCUGGGCAGUAACUGACGCUGGAGGAGCGAAAAGCGUGGGGAGCGAACAGGA